GCAAACUGAGGAUGCUCCAUCCAAAUCCUGUGCCUCCUGAUUGCUGAGUGUUCACCUGGACCUUCUGACUACCUUCCCUGUGCUAUUCCAUCAGCCUACAGACCUGGUACCUGGAUUUUUGCCCGAGAUGAUUCCUACCACCUUACUACUGACGAAGACACCCAUUCCAGUGGACCACUGUGACCCAGGAGGCAUUCAGCCAUCAUGAUGUGGCCUUUACCUCCACUCCUGUCUUGUUCUACCCAGAUUCAGCACAGCCCUUUAUAGUGAAGUCAGAGUCCUCAAGCCAAAUAGCUAAAGCUGUUUUAUCACAACAAAGGCCUAGUUUGUUCCAUGAGUGUGCAUUUCAUUUCUUCAGUUAAAGCCUUCAGAGACACACAAUAAAUUUGGACCAGGGGAUUUUUUAGUUAUUAAUG
rnacentral:lncRNA from 1 species